AAACAACCGUUGGCGCUUGAACAUGACGACGUAAUCACCUGUAUAAAUACCGCCCUCUUCCUUCGUCACAUCCUCUUUCCGUUGUUCUCCUCGCUCUGAGAAACUUCUCCACGCGAUGAGAGCCAAGUGGAGGAAGAAGCGUAUGCGCAGGCUGAAGCGUAAAAGGAGAAAGAUGAGGCAGAGGUCAAAGUAAGCCCUCAUCCUGGACAGCUGUGAUCCCGUCAGAGCCUCCACAGAUGACCGACACAUGCGGCUGAAGUUGAGCCUUCCAUCAGUGGAACAAAGGCCUAAACCCUGAUUUUCAGAUGACUGCGCAUCUCUCCGAGGCUGCUGUGAACGUCUGAGUGGAAGAGGCGAAGAUGCUGGAUGAUCUCUCAACAUCAGAAAUGCAGCUGUUUUGUUCAUGGACCAUAAUACAUCUUGUUUACCAACUGACAUGUGGUGCACUGAACAAUAAAUGAACACUGUUUAAAAAUUUAA